UACAGAGGUCCCAAGCGUUGUUCGGAUUCAUUGGGCGUAAAGGGUGCGUAGGCGGCGCGGUAAGUCGGGUGGGAAAUCUCGGGGCUUAACUCCGAAACUGCAUUCGAUACUGCCGUGCUUGAGGACUGGAGAGGAGACUGGAAUUUACGGUGUAGCGGUGAAAUGCGUAGAUAUCGUAAGGAAGACCAGUGGCGAAGGCGGGUCUCUGGACAGUUCCUGACGCUGAGGCACGAAGGCCAGGGGAGCAAACGGG
rnacentral:rRNA from 1 species